AGCGAACGCUGGCGGCAGGCUUAACACAUGCAAGUCGAACGGGCACCUUCGGGUGUCAGUGGCAGACGGGUGAGUAACACGUGGGAACGUACCCUUUGGUUCGGAACAACUCUGGGAAACUGGAGCUAAUACCGGAUACGCCCUUGGCUUUUGGCUUUGGGGAAAGGUUGACUGCCGAAGGAUCGGCCCGCGUCUGAUUAGCUAGUUGGUGAGGUAACGGCUCACCAAGGCGACGAUCAGUAGCUGGUCUGAGAGGAUGAUCAGCCACACUGGGACUGAGACACGGCCCAGACUCCUACGGGAGGCAGCAGUGGGGAAUAUUGGACAAUGGGCGCAAGCCUGAUCCAGCCAUGCCGCGUGAGUGAUGAAGGCCUUAGGGUUGUAAAGCUCUUUUGUCCGGGACGAUAAUGACGGUACCGGAAGAAUAAGCCCCGGCUAACUUCGUGCCAGCCGCCGCAGUAAAAC
rnacentral:rRNA from 1 species